UAGCAGUCGAGCGAAUGGAUUAAGAACUUGCUCUUAUGAAGUUCGCGGCGGACGGGUGAGUAACACGUGGGUAACCCGCCCUUAACACUGGGAUUACUCCGGGAAACCGGGGCUAAUACCGGAUAACAUUUUGAACCUGAUGGUUCGAAAUUGAAAGGCGGCUUCCGCUGUCAUUUAUGGAUGGACCCGCGUCUCAUUGGCUGGUUGGUGGCGUAACGGCGCACCAAGGCAACGAUGCGUAGCCAACCUGAUAGGGUGAUCGGCCACUCUGGGACUGACACAACGCCCACACUCCUACGGGAGGCAGCAUUAUGGAAUCUUCCCCCAUGGACGAAACUCUGACGGAGCAACGCCGCAUGAGUGAUGAAGGCUUUCGGGUCCUAAAACUCUGUUGUAAAGGAAGAACAAGUGCUACUUGAAUAAACUGGCACCUUGACGGUACCUAACCAGAAAGCCUCCGCUAACUACGUGCCAGCAACCGCAGUAAUACGUACGUGGCAAGCAUUAUCCGGAAUUAUUGGGCGUAAAGCUCGCGCAUGUGGUUUCUUAUGUCUGAUGUGAACUCCCACGGCUCACCCGUGUAGGGUCAGUGGAAACUGGGAGACUUGAAUGCAAACGAGGAAAGUGGAAUUCCAUGUGUAUGCGUGAAAUGCGUGAGAUAUGGAGGAACACCAGUGGCGACCGCGACUUUCUGGUCUGUAGCUGACACUGAGGCGCGAAAGCGUGGGGAGCAACUGGAUUAGAUACCCUGGUACUCCACGCCGUAAACUAUGAGUGCUAUGUGUUAUAGGGUUUCCGCCCUUUAGCUGCUGAAGUUAACUCAUUAAGCACUCCGCCUGGGGGAGUACGGCCGCAACGCUGAAACUCAACGGAUUGACGGGGGGCCCGCACAA
rnacentral:rRNA from 1 species